AGACGGAGGUUGAUGAUGAGCUGCUGUACCUCGAGGAUCACGAUGGAGAUGAUGGCCAUCUCUGGACUCAGCCAGGGGAAGAGUCGCUGCAGCUGACCACACUGACCAAUCAGGAGUCGUCACGGACCUGCCACUGGCCGAUGCUCUCCACUCUGAGACCAAAGGGCCUCUGCAGACCGGUGCAGAGCUUGAAGGCAUCACUGCGGAUCUCAAUGAUGUUGUUGAUGAGCGCACACAUGGCGGCCAGAGGGAAGGCUGAGGAGAAGAGCACCACGUAUCCAAACUGGACAAACAUCUCCUGGUAGUCCUGGAAGGUGUCCUGGGAGGGACAAACGAUGGAUAAAUACUCCACAGAUGACUCUGAUUGAGCAGGUGAGUACGAAGACAAAUGGAGGACACUGGUCAGACAUGGACAGACGUGGACAAGCUCAGUGAGAUGGACACCAACAUCAAAACCAAGACAUGCAGACAGCUGACUGACCUGCAGCUCGAAACAGAUGAGCAUGACCAGGAAGACAAAACAGAGACACAGGAUACAGAUGGGCAGGCUGACCAGCCACCUGAAAACACGCCUCCGCCACGGAGGAUAGUAGAAC